rnacentral:tRNA from 1 species
GUCAGAAUGGCCGAGUGGUCUAAGGCGCCAGACUCAAGGUUGUGCACCUUCUCCAAAACAGAGAGAUUUUUGGUCUCUGGAUGGAGGUGUGGGUUCAAAUCCCACUUCUGACA